UUUCCGUAGGUGAACCUGCGGAAGGAUCAUUACCGGGAUUUGUUUCAUUAUGAGACUAUCUCCAUGACCCUUUUUGUUUAUCAAAAAAUGUCUACUUCGGCAAGACGUUCAAUUUUGGUUCUUUUUGGGAUCAGAAUUGACCAUUGACUUUUACCCAAAAGUGAAUGUGUUUUUUUUGCUUGCCGAAGGUUUUUAUAACUCUUUAUUAUACUUGAAGUCUGAGUACAAAAGAAAAUAAAUUAAAACUUUCAACAACGGAUCUCUUGGUUCUGGCAUCGAUGAAGAACGCAGC
rnacentral:misc_RNA from 1 species